rnacentral:rRNA from 2 species
GAAUUGCGCAUGGGGGACCUGACGCAGCACGCCGCGUGGGUGAUGAAGGUCUUCGGAUUGUAAAGCCCUGUUUUCUGGGACGAUAAUGACGGUACCAGAGGAGGAAGCCACGGCUAACUACGUGCCAGCAGCCGCGGUAAUACGA